AGCAGACAUGCAAAAGGUGGGUCCUGUCCUCAGGUGAGUCCUGUCCUCAGGUGGGUCCUGUUCUCAGGUGUCCUCGUGUGAGUCCUGUCCUCAGGUGAGUCCUGUCCUCAGGUGAGUCCUGUUCUUAGGUGGGCCCUGUCCUCAGGUGAGUCCUGUCCUCAGGUGAGUCCUGUUCUUAGGUGGGCCCUGUCCUCAGGUGAGUCCUGUCCUCAGGUGUGUCCUGUCCUCAGGUGUGUCCUGUCCUCAGGUGUCCUCAGGUGAGUCCUGUCCUCAGGUGAGUCCUGUCCUCAAUUGUCCUCAGGUGAGUCCUGUUCUCAGGUGGGUCCUGUCCUCAGGUGGGUCCUGUCCUCAGGUGAAUCCUGUCCUCAGGUGAGUCCUGUUCUCAGGUGGGUCCUGUCCUCAGGUGAAUCCUGUCCUCAGGUGAAUCCUGUCCUCAGGUGGGUCCUGUCCUCAGGUUUGUCCUGUCCUCAGGUUUGUCCUGUCCUCAGGUGGGUCCUGUCCUCAGGUGGGUCCUGUCCUCAGGUUUGUCCUGUCCUCAGGU